UAUGAACUCAGAGCUUCAUUCAUGCUAAGC
rnacentral:piRNA from 1 species